rnacentral:rRNA from 1 species
CUACGGGGGGCUCCAGUGGGGAAUAUUGCACAAUGGGCGAAAGCCUGAUGCAGCAACGCCGCGUGAGUGAUGAAGGCCUUCGGGUCGUAAAACUCUGUCCUCAAGGAAGAAUAAUGACGGUACUUGAGGAGGAAGCCCCGGCUAACUACGUGCCAGCAGCCGCGGUAAUACGUAGGGGGCAAGCGUUAUCCGGAAUCACUGGGCGUAAAGGGUGCGUAGGCGGUUUUACAAGUCAGGUGUGAAAGGCUAUGGCUCAACCAUAGUAAGCACUUGAAACUGUAUAACUUGAGUGCAGGAGAGGAAAGUGGAAUUCCUAGCGUAGCGGUGAAAUGCGUAGAUAUUAGGAGGAACACCAGUGGCGAAGGCGACUUUCUGGACUGUAACUGACGCUGAGGCACGAAAGCGUGGGGAGCGAACAGGAUUAGAUACCCCGGUAGUC